GUUUUCUCAAAUCCACAUAACUAUAGUGAAAAAAUAAAUAAAUAUAAUGCAAAAUGUAUGUUCAAUUUCUCAUUUCAUGAGUGCCAGCAUUGACUUUCUAAUCCUACCACGGUAUGAAAGAAAUUCUUCUUGCCAUUUAGGCAACGUCGUAAUAAGCGCUGCCCAAUAGAAUGAAGCCCUCUCUCUAAGCCUCUCCUCUUCAGUUAUCACCAUAGUAAAACGUAGCUCCACUCCGUAAUCUGUGAGUUCCUCGUUGCCAAUACAGGUGCAAGUACAACGCAACAUGGUUCGUAAGUGCGAAAUAUGUGGAAAGGACGGAAAAAUCUCAUCCGGAUUUAUCCCUCCAUAGUCCAUAGGUGAAUCAACCUGCAGUGUGAUGUUGUUCAGUGGCGUCGCACGUGGCAGCAAACAUGUAUUAUUUUGAUAUCUUUUAUAUGAAUCACAUAAAAUGUGUAUAUACCUGUUCACGCAAGAACUACUUGUGAAAUUUUUUGUAAUUUUAUAUGUUAAUAGGAAUUUUUCUCAACAUUUUUUGUGGGCUUAAUAAUAAAAAUAAUAAUAUUCAUCACUUGAAAAAGCCCAGAUCAUGUAAAAACUUUUUUAUUGCA